rnacentral:misc_RNA from 1 species
AUAUUAUUCCUUCCUCACAAUCAUUAGAGAUUUGUUUGAAUGCAGGUAUCACCACAUCCCUUUCCGCAGUUGAUAUUUGGCAACUGAUGAGAGAUGGUAUGGCCGUGAGUGACGUACAGAUGUCUCGUCUGCUGAAACUUGCGCACAAAUUUAAUUGCUUUUAUUUAACAGGUUUGCAUAAAGGAGACUGUCGUCCCUUUAUUGUUGAGGGACAUCAGGUGGGUCUGGUCAGGCCUGAUGUUAUGCAGCAUCUUCAUCACUAUCCUGAUGUAUUUCAUAUUCAGCCCGAUGCCGUCGAACUGAAUCCUGCCUUCAGAGAUUAUGGGGAACGGAGUGACAGAGUGGAAGCAGUACUGAAAGACUGUCGUGCAAACAAUAUAUUUAUCGCACUUAAAGGUUGGCGUGAAGAGUGUUAUGAAGUUUGUGCUGCAUAUGCAUCCAAAGCGCUUCUUAAGAUGGACCGUUCAGCCACUUGUUUAUUUGGAAUUCGUAACUAUGGUGUUGACAUUAAUGGGUAUGUGAGGCAUCCAGAGAAGGGACUGUGCCUUUGGUUGCAGCAGCGCUCAGCAACAAAGCAAACAUGGCCUGGAAAGUGGGAUAAUAUGGUAGGUGGUGGCCUUUCUGUGGGUUAUACUAUAAUGGAAACUGCCAUAAAGGAAGCAGCAGAAGAAGCUUCAAUACCCCUGGAACUGAUGAAGAAUCUGAGGCCUGCUGGAUCUGUUUCGUUUUUCUUUGAAAGUGAAAGAGGGCUUUUUCCAAACACAGAAUUUGUCUUUGACCUGGAAUUGCCUUUGGAUUUCAUUCCUUUCAAUAGUGAUGGUGAAGUGCAAUGCUUUCAGCUACUCCCUGCAAUGGAUGUCCUUGAAAAAGUUUUCUCUCCAGACUUCAAAACAACAAGUUGCCCAGUAAUAGUUGAUUUUCUUAUUCGACAUGGCCUGGUUUCAAUUGAAAAUGAGUGUGAAGAAGCAACUGCAAGACUAUAAUGGAAUACAAUAGCUGUGUCAUGGACUGCCAGAAAAAGGGGGUACAGUAGGAUAUUAAAAAAAAUAGAGCCAAACUUGCCUCAAGUUGUGGAACUGCUUCAUGUGCCACUUCAGACCAUCUACAGAUCAUGCCAGUACCAGCCUCCAGCUACAAAUGGUCAAGACAUUUC